AAACCCUGUCUCUACCAAAAAAAAAAAAAUUAGCCAGUCGUGGUGUUGUGCGCCUCUAAUCCCAGCUACUCGGGCAGCUGAGGCAUGAGAAUCACUUGAACCCUGGAGGCAGAGGUUGCAGUGAGCCAAGGUCGCACUGCUGCACUCCAGCCUGGACAACAAAGCGAGACUCUAUCAAAAAAAAAAAAGAAAAGAAAUACCAGAUGGUAAGGCAGGGCAAUGAAGGUAAGAGAAGAGUGAGUAAAGAAUAAAGAAAAUACCACAAUUUCUGUGCCCUAAAACUACUGCUGUGAUUUGAUGGUUUCAAAGUUUGGAUUCACAAACACACACAACCAUAUGUUGCUUCUCUUCAUCAAGUUACAUAUUUUAAAAUAGCUCGAAUUUCUAUUGGAGAGUACAAAAUGUGGGAAGGUGAAAGGGGGGUGAGGGUUGAAAAAUUACCUGUUUGGUACAAUGUUUACUAUGCCGGUGAUGGGUGCACUAAAUGCCUGGAUUUCACCACUAUGCAAUAUGUGCAUAUUUAAAAAUCUGCACUUGUCCCCCCUAAAUAAAUAAAUAAAUUAUAAUAAAAAGCUCAAAUUCCCUCUUUUCCUUCCAAAUGCAGUGUUCCAUUCAUCUGCCACCAGAUGGCAGAGAAGAGCAGAGAAUAAAUUCCUAAAUAUCAAAAGAAAGACUGACACCUGGAGAAGUCCAGCCCUCUUGAAGGAAGGCAAACCUAAAUCUUUUAAAAUAGAAAAGCAUCUUAUUUUUAAAGGCUUCCAGAGACAUCAAGUUCACAAUUUUCCCCUAACUUACUGUUGGGAAACCUGUUAAAAAUAUACUUCACUAAAGCACAGCCUAAUGGAGCUCAGAAUUGUUAGGCAAAUUCAUAAAUCCAGAAAGAGCUAAGAAUCACUUUAGCUCAAAAAGGUACAAAAAAUGGUUUUAAAAAGAAAACUUGCUGCCCUAGUUCCAAGAGGAAACUUAAUGGCUGUCCCUCAAGCACCUCAAAUUCAACCUGUCCCAAACAUAACUCAGUAUCUUCCUUCCACACUUUCUCUUUUUCCUGUUCCCAAAUCAAUUAUGAAUAGUAUCCCCACUUGGUUGCUAAAUCCAGAAAACCUAACAUCCUCCUUGUUGUGUCCCUAAUUCUCAACUUGUAAAGAAUGAGUAUUUUAUCAUCUCUUUUCCUUCAUCUAUUGGUUUUGAAAUAAUAUACUGUUUUUAUUCUUUUAGUAGUUAUAUUAGGAAUUACCACAUGCAUAUUUAUCAAAACUGAAAUUACUAAACAUCUUUAUCCUGAUCCUAGAUGACGCGAGGAUCAUUUAAAAUCCAUUUAUCCCCCUCUUGGAUUAUAUUGUUGUUGUGCUGUGCAUUUUAAUUUUUUACACCUACCAGGACAUUAUUGUCACUGUUUUAUACAAUAGGUCUUUGUUUAGGUUUGCCCAUAUGUUUUCCACUUUCUCUGCUCUUCUUUCCUUCUUGGAUCUCAGGUCUUGCCUCUGGGAUCACUUUCCUUCUGUCUGAAGUAUGCAUCCUUUAGAAUUUCCUGUAAUGAGCUAGAGAUGAAUUCUCUCAGCUUUUGUUUUUCUGAAAAAUGUCUCUUUUGCCCUCAUUCUUGAAAGAUACUUUUUGUUUAGUAUAAGUUCUAGAUUGGCAGCUAUUUUGUCAGCCCUUUUAAGGUACCAGUCCAUGUCACCUGGCUUCUAUUUUUGCUGUUAAGCAGCCAAGUGAUAGUACAACUGUUGCUCUUUUGAAAGUAAUCUACUUUUACCCUCUGGUGUUUCUAAUAUUUUUCUCUUUGCCUGUUAUUUGCUGCAGUUUCUAGAAUGUAUCUUGGAUAGAUUUCUUCUUAUUUAUCCUAUUUGGGGUUAUUGGGCUUCUUUAAUUCAUUCUGAAAUAUUUGCAACCAUUUCAUCUUCAAAUACUGCCUCUGCCCCAUUCUUGCUCUCCUUUCCUUAUGUAACUCCAACUAAAUGAAUGAUAAAUUCUCUUAGUUUUUCCUUCAUAUAUCUAAUUUCUCUUCCAUAGUUUCCAUCCUUUUGUCUCUUUUCAAAGCAUUCUGGAUAAUAUCUUCUGAGCUAUCCUCUAGUUCUCUAAUUCUCCCUUUAGCUCUGCUCAAUUUUCUGUCAGAUUCUGUACCCUCUCACAUACAAAUAUACUUACCUCCUCCCCAAGGAAAAAAACUUUUAAAGUUCCAUAAAGUCACUGACUUGAGCUCUAAGUCGAAGAUCUAAUACCUUAAUCUCUACAUCAGGUCCAGAUGAGGUUGAUUUUCACCUAGACACCUAUGAAUUUAUAACAACAGUUAUUUGUUCCACCCACCCCAAUACAUAUACAAUAUACAAUAGUGAAACAGGGUCAGAAUAAUUCCAAUAAACCCUCCCAUUUGGAAAAGAGAAGGAUGGAAAAUGCAAUUCUAAAAUCUCACUGGGCAGAUGAUUACAAGGAGUUCCUACUCUGGGGAGGGGGAAUAUUUCUUGAAUAGCCCUUGAUUUCGCUAAUACUAAUGGGCUCCUCAACCCAUUGUUCACCCUGGCCCUUGGUCUUCUCUCUGGCAGGAUGUCAUUCCUUUUCAAUUAUCCUCCUUGGUCGUGCUGAAGAAGGCACUGGAAAAUAUGUCUUUCUUAGGAACUGAGCAGCUUUCUUUUUAUGCUUCCUUCCUAUAGAAAUUGGGGGCCAACAGUCAUAGACGAUUUUAGUCCAGGCUGUGGUAUUUUUGAAGUAAAGUUCUUUUUCAAAAACAUACUUGACUUUUUAUUUAUUUUGGUUUAGUCCGCUGCCUGUAGUAAUAGCCAUACCUACAAUUCUUUUGAAAACAAUUCUCCCUCAUUUAAGUUAGUUCAGAUACUUAAACCUAUCAGGUUUGAUAGCAUUCUUAUUUUCUUUUACUUGACCAUUUUGUCAAGCUAAAAGGACUUAAUAAACACUACUUUAACUCAUCCAGAGGUUUUUAACAAUGACUGUAUGGUCACAUCCUCAAGGGAUCCUUGCUUAAGCAGCUAAGCAUUUUUAAUCAGACUUUAAUAUUCAAAGGCCUUCUCAGUUUUCUCUUUUACCAUCUGGAAAUGAGAAUCACUUGUAUCUUCCAAACCUGCAAGUACUGAAUUUCUGUGCUCUCUUAAUUUCCUUUCAAAUUAAAUAAUUAAAUUCCUUUUCUACUUGCAAAUAAGCCAAUUCUUUUUUGAGCUCAUCUCUUUAUUGCUGUAAAUUACCAAAUGAAGCCAAUAGUAACUAAUUCACCCUACAAGCAUUCAGUUUUUCCCAAAAAUCUUCCCAAAAGGAAAACUAUAGGCCCAGACUCUACCAGCAAGUUCUAUGAACAUUCAAGGGAGAAAUGAGACCAAUAAUACAAACCCUUUCAGAAAACAGAAAAAGGGAGUAUUUUCUCUAACUCGUUCGAUGAUGCUAUCAUAACUCUGAUAUCAAAAUCCACUAAGGAGGCCCGGUGUGGUGGCUCACACCAGUAAUCCCAGCACUUUGGGAGUCACUUGGGGCCAGGGUUCGAGAUCAGCCUGGCCAACAUGGCGAGACCCUGUCUCUACUAAAAAUACAAAAAUUAGCCAGGCAUGGUAAGGCACACCUGUAAUCCCAGCUACUCACGAGGCUGAGGCAGGAGAAUAACUUGAAUUCAGAAGGCAGAGGUUGCAGUAAGCCGAGACUGGAGCCAAGUGAUCCUCCCACCUCAACCUCCCAAAGCACUAAGAUUAUACAGGCAUGAGCCACCAUGCCCAGCCUGAGUCACAAAAUGUCACUGAAGUAAAAGGUUAGAGGUGCACACCCAAAUGGAAUGAAAUUCCACAAAGUAGAAAAGAAGUCAUCAAAAUGGCAAGAGAAAGCCAGAAAUAAAGACAAUUAUUGUCAUUUACAGUAGUUGUCUCUAUAAAACUGUCAUGAACACUGCACUAGCAAAUACUGAAGCUCUGAUCCUAGGGGAAAUAUAGGGCUAGGUUCCUGGUAAGCCUCUGGUCACAUGUUCAUCAACCAAUCAAUACAUAACUUGUUUUAUAAGUGUUUCUGCUUAAUGAUAUUUUAUUUAAUAUACUCAUGGCAACAGCACUAUAACUCAUGAUUGAACAAAGUUUAUCUAACACAUAUGUUUUCUCAAUAAGAUACAUCACAGCCUUCUUCCAUUUAAGAACACUAGAAAGCACUUCAGUACUACACUUGGGGGCCAUUUAAACAGUGAAAUCACCAACAAAAAGCACAAACAGGUUAAAAAAAAAAAGCACUAAAUCAACCACAAAAAGACAAUUGUUUAUAGUGUGAGAACUGAAGUAAGAAGACAAUGUUGCCUUGUUCAGCCUCAAUUGGGAACGAGUCAUCAGGUGACUUAAAUUUUGAACCACUCUGCACAUGUCCACAAAUGACCAUGCAAGUCCUGAGUACUGAUUUUGGAGUUACAAAUAAAUUUUAGUGAGUAGGUGAAUUUGUAAAUACAGAAUCCUUGAAUGAGGCUCAACUGAAUAGAUAUACAGAAGUCCCUCGCUCUGGGGUUUUGCUUUCCAUGAUUUCAGUUACCUGGGAUCAGCCAUGGUACAAAAAUGUUAAACAGAAAAUCUAAGAAAUAUACCAUUUGUAAGUUUUAAAUUGUCAUUCCAAGUAGCAUAAUGAAAUUUCUCACCAUCGUGCUCUGUCCCGCCUAGGGUAUGAAUCACCGCUUUGUCCAGUAUAUCCAUGCUGCAUAUGCAACCCAUCCAUUAUGGUCCAGAAAAAAAACACUGUGUACACAGGCUUCAGCACUAUCCACAAUUUCAGGCAUCCACUGGGGAUCUUGGAACGUAUCCCUCAAUGAUAAGGGAGGACUACUAUAUUCAGUCCUGUGAGGCCUGGACUGUGAGAGAAGGUACAUUUUCAGUUAAGUCAGCAAAGGAAUCAGGGUCCUCAGAGAAGGACCAUGUGAUGCUCUGAACAAAAUGGGCAAGAGGGUACUGGAGGGGAACAGUGCCUGAAUGGGCUUACAUUUUGAGGAACAGCCAAAGAUGACAGGGAUGAAGGAACUUGAUACAAUCAACUGACCUCAACAUUCCAAAUGAAAUCCUAGCAAAAGUUAUUUCAAUGGUUUUUAUGCUUUGACUUAUUUGUCUGCCAUGGCAUCAUAGCAUACUGAUCAGGUCUGGAUAUGAAGAUGUGUCAGGCAUGCUCAAACAUCAGUACACCCCAGACUGUUACUUCCUUAAGAAAUGAGUGUGGGCUAAUAUUUAACAGUGUACCCCUGACUGUUACUUCCUAGAAAUGAGUGUCGGCUAAUAUUUAACCACAAAAGUCAUUGUUUAUAAUGUGGUAUUUACAAUGGGACUGGAGAACUAGAAACAAUCUAUGUCCAUCAGUGGGAAACUUGUUAAACUAUGUUCUACCAAAAAAAAUGGAUUUUUAUGAUAAAAGCAGUAGCAUUUUUGAAAUAUCUUCUAAUUUAUGUUGCCAAUUCCCACCCCUACCUCUACCUUACCCCUUUAAACUUAACCAGCCAUCAUCAAAGAGCGUUAAGAGAAGGUGGGGUCCUAUAAUAACAUAGAUAUAAAAGUAAGCACUGUCAAAAAUAAAGUAUUUAUUUUAGCUGCCAUUUAACAAUCAAGCUACAGAGUUCUUCCUGUCUUCUAUUAAAACUUCUCCUUAAAACUAACAUUGGGAAGGACUUAAUAGAUGUGGGGAAGGGGAGAGAUAUGACAGAAAACUGGAGAGGCAGAUAUCAUAUAAGACUUCAUAAGGAAUAGUAGAUAAUUUGGAUUUUACCACAACUGCAAUUAGAUACUGUCAACAAGCUUUAGGUGAAGAAAAAGCAACAUGAUCUCAUUUAUUUUUUUUUUUCAAAAUCUACUCUGACGCAGUGUGGAGAAAUGAUUGGAAGGAGGUAAAAGAAAACGUGGAGAGACAAGUAACUACACCAUUGCUUUAGUCCAGGUAAGAAAUGAUGGUGGCUUAAACUAGGAUGACUAGAAUGGCAAUGGAGUUUGAAAAAGGAUGAACUUAAGACACAUUUUAAAGCAGAUAAUCCUUUAAAAUGCUAAAAUUCAGGUAUUACAGUGACAAUAUUAUUUUUCCCCUCAUGGUAUUUCCCAACUUUUUGUUAAACAAUAGUACUUACAUCUAAAAUUUUUAAAACAUCACUUACUUUAAAAUAAUUCAACUCUAAAGCAAACAAAUAAGAUACUUGUAAGCAAAUCCAGGCCUAAUAUUUGCAAGGUCCACAGCCAGAGUAUAAAUGAAAGCCCAUAGUAUAUCUCUAAAAAUGAAAAAGUUAUAAAACAAUCUGUUAAAUAAAAUGUUUAAUUCAUGUGCCUUGAUGAAAAUUUUAAAAUAUGUAUAAAAGCAUGAUUUUUUUUUUUUUUUUUUUUUUUUUGAGACAGGGUCUCACUGUCACCCAGGCUGGAGUGCAGUGGUACAAUCAUGGCUCACUGUGGCCUUGACUUCCUGGACUCAAGGGAUCCUCCCACCUCAGCCUCCUGAGUAGCUGAGACUACAGGCACAUGCCAAUCAUGCCUGGCUAAGUUUUUGUGGUUGGUUUUUGUUUGUUUGUUUGUUUUUUGUAGAGACAGAAUUUUGUUAUGCUGCCCAUGCUUGAACUCCUGGCCUCAAGCCAUCCUCCUACCUUGUCCUCCCAAAGUGCUGGGAUUAUAGGUGUGAGCCACCAUGCCUAACCUAGUUGUGAUUUUUGUAUGACUAAAAGUUGACAGAAUAUCCAAGACAACUGAAUUUAAGCAGUAUUGUACAUGUCUGGAUAUAAUGUUGAUGAGCUGGCAGUGUCUAGAUAAAAAUAAGAUAAAGACAUACAUAAUUUUUAAAUUACAAUAUAGUCCAUACAAUUUAUCUUUCUACCUUAAUUUUAUCAAAUCACUAAUCAGGUUUUCUCAUAAUUUGUGUCAUAUUGCCAGUAAGUAUCCAAAGGAUUAAAAAUAAAUUCAAUUUAUUUAGAGCAUAAAAAGUGUUUAAUAAUAACAUAUUGAUACUUGAAAAUUGCCAAGACAGUAGAUUUUAAAAGUUCUCAUCACAAAAAGAUGAUAAGGAUGUAAGGUGAUGGAUAUGUUAAUUAGCUUGAUUUAAUCAUUCCACAUGUAUACAUAUAUCAAAACGUCAUAGUGUACAC
rnacentral:lncRNA from 10 species